GACGAACGCUGGCGGCGUGCCUAAUACAUGCAAGUUGAGCGCUGAAGGUUGGUACUUGUACCAACUGGAUGAGCAGCGAACGGGUGAGUAACGCGUGGGGAAUCUGCCUUUGAGCGGGGGACAACAUUUGGAAACGAAUGCUAAUACCGCAUAAAAACUUUAAACACAAGUUUUAAGUUUGAAAGAUGCAAUUGCAUCACUCAAAGAUGAUCCCGCGUUGUAUUAGCUAGUUGGUGAGGUAAAGGCUCACCAAGGCGAUGAUACAUAGCCGACCUGAGAGGGUGAUCGGCCACCUUGGGACUGAGACACGGCCCAAACUCCUACGGGAGGCAGCAGUAGGGAAUCUUCGGCAAUGGACGAAAGUCUGACCGAGCAACGCCGCGUGAGUGAAGAAGGGUUUCGGAUCGUAAAACUCUGUUGGUAGAGAAGAACGUUGGUGAGAGUGGAAAGCUCAUCAAGUGACGGUAACUACCCAGAAAGGGACGGCUAACUACGUG
rnacentral:rRNA from 1 species